GUGAAGGACCUGCAUUUUGUAGUUUAUAGUAUUUGUUUAGUUCUAACACAAGAUAGCUGUACUGAAGGGGAAAAAAUAAAGAAGCUAGUGAUACUGUGAAAAUCAGAGAGGCAAAAAGGGAGAUUGUGGCAAGCACUGAGCCAGAGGCUGUAAUCAAUUAGCUGAUUGCUGAACUUCAGUCCCCUGCAUUACAUCUGCCAGCAGCAGCAAAAGAUGUACAGCUGAAAAUUCCCCCUCACAAAACCACAAAGCCUGUGGAACUCUAGUCAUAAAUACUUCAAAAGGAAAGGGUCUGCUCCAGUGUAGAUUUCAACACCUUGAUAAUCAGCAGCCUUUCAGUAGUAUCCAUUUAUAAAUAGAAGAUCCUUGGAAUAGAGAGAUGUGAAUGCAGACGUCUGACGUAAUAAAGCUCAAACUAAUCUCCAGUAUUUUAUUAAGAAAUCAUUAGAUUGAACUGCUUCAGGUGAAAUCUUUCUCUAUUGAAGUUAGCAGCAAAAUUCCCUCUGACUUCACACAGCAAGAAAUAAAACCUUUUCAAGACAGUUAUUAAGCUGCAGAACAGCUAAAAGUAUUGGGGUGGCACCAUCAUACUACAAGAAGUGAAAGGAUAAAGCAAAGAAGAGCUGGUUGGCUGGGUUUCCCAUGCAACUCCAAGAAGAGCCAAGCCUCUUUUAGCCCACCAGAGACAAAGGCAUACAUACAAAUUUUCAGAAGAGCAUAAGCUGCAGUGAAAGCUGGAUGCUGCCAGCACUGGGUACUUCUCUUCCUCUCUGUCUGAGUAAAACUCAGGUUAUGACAUGCUUUCAACAUCCUGUCAAGAUCUGCUAAGUUCUUGUGUGAGCCAGCCUUUGCAGAUGUGCUGCACAAGGUCUUUUAUCGUGGCUUGUGCUGUGUUGCAGACCCAAAAUAUACCUGUUGUGCUUAAGAGAAAAUGCAAAAAACAUUGUCACUUCAAAGCAGAUCUCAUUUCUGGCAGCAAGGAGAUGAAGCCAGUUAUUUCAGUAACACAACUUUCAGAUCUCAGAUUUCAUGAUUUCUCAAAAAAUUUAGUUGAGUCAAUUUUUGUCUUUUACACUGUACACUAAAAGUCUGCUUUUUGGAAGACUCUUCCCACACCAGCUGUCUUCUGCCAUAUCACUGCAGCACUGGCUGUGGUAGGCAUGCUGGGAUAGGAAAGGGAUGUCAAAUAGAGAGGAGACAGAUAUGCACAUAGGAGAACUGCACAUAGAAGUACUAAACUUAUCAGUAGUAUCUGGCAAUUAAAGGUAUCUUAGACACAAAAAAUUAUUAAAGGGAGGUGGAUGUUUCUAGCAUAUUUCCCUGUGAGAUGAGUGCAUGCUUUGAAAUUGCUGGUAGGAAAGAAAGGUAGCAGCAAUAAAGUUAGCACACAAACACCAUCUGUGAAAGCCAGAAAGCAUCUAUAGAUCCUCUGUAUGCUAGAGGCUUAUUGCAUCAUGUAUGAGAAGGGAUAGAAAAAACCCAGAAAGAGAAAGAAGAGAGGGAAAUACAGAGUCAGCCUUUCCCAACCCCCCCAAAAAUGCAUGAUAAAGCUGAGAAGUAAAUAUGAAUUAAAAAAUACUGUACAGACCAUCUUAACACUGUUAUGUUACUGCCAUACAAAUCAUACGCAUUUUUCAUGUUGUGGAGAUCAAAUGAAUUAUUGCCAAUUUAACACAAAGCUUCAGCCUGAGGCACUAUCUAUGUAAAAACUAACUCUAUCCUGAAGACACAAUUUAAAUAGAAAACCUCCUAGAUUAUUGGUAACAAGGUUGCACUCCAAACAAGGAGGGAGUAUGCUGGAAGUCAGGAGAAUUUUGCUGGAAAUCUGUAAACCACAUCUACUGCCUACAGAAAUGAGCAACUAAUAAAGCCCUCCAGCUCAUGCUCCUUGCCCAGCAGCAAUCUUUAAGUCAGUUCCCUGGAUUCCUCUGUCUCUGCCCAAUAACCAUCACUUAACUUUUCUAUUUUCUUCCCACUGUGCUCUGCUCCCAGUACACAACAGUGGGCAACACCUGAAUUUAUAUGGAAAUGCAAAGACAGGGUCAUCUCAGGCCCUAAAAUACAAUAUUGAUAGUCCCAGCCAUAGAUUUCCGUCAUUUCACCCAACUACAAUGACUCCAACUCUCUUGGACAUUUCUGUUCCCAAGGCCACUCACUUUUCCUCCUGUGCUCUGCAAUAUCAGUAAAUAUACUACAAGGUCAUCUCUGGUGCUGUUGGUUACAAAGUUGUCAGUGGAGACGGUCAUUGAGGAGGCUUUGUUAAGCAUGUACUUGUUCCCGUAACCAGAACAGUUUUCCUCUCCGGUUUUUGUUUUUGUUUUUCUCAUUACCCUCCACUCUGCUGGUUUAUACUUUAUAUAUCCUCUAAAGACCUCUCAGAGUGUAAUUUGAUUGCUGUUGGGGAAAGAAAAGUACCCAUGAAUGGAAAAUUCUACUUUCUGCUCUUUCUAGUAGACAAUAGCAGAGAAUAUUUGCCUCUGGAGACUUAUUUUUAUUUAUUGAUAGAAGAUAUCCAUCUCAGUUCACCAUUUCCAUGCCUGUACCUUCACUUGUAUUUUUCAUUUUGAGCACUUCAUAGCCAUGCAGUUAACUGUGGAUUGCAGUCUUAUGUGGUUUUGUCCCUGCAAUGCCCUGGUGAAUUGGGAAAUGUCACUGUACUGACUUUAUAGGCAACACAUUAAGCAUCAAUACAUUGUGAGCUCAGGCUUGUGAAAAAGCCAUUCAUCACAAAUGUGCCAAUUCUCUAUAGGCAUAUGCAAAGCUUGUCCCAAAUGCAGGAUAACUCAGAUCUGGCUUUUCCUGGGAUGGUUCUGUAACUCUUAAAAAUAACAGAAAAAAACUAAAUGUUACCUUCUUUUGCUACAUACUAAGUUAAUGUUAUAUACUAAGUUAAUUACUAUAUACUAAGUUAAUCUAGCCAUUGUUGUUGACUUAAUUUUUAUAACAUUUUACCCUGCUUUUUUACUAAUUGUCCCAAAUUUACAGUGAAAAAUGUAGCAAAUAAAGAAAUGGAAUCUUGCUUACUUUUCUAUUAUCUCAGGCUGACUGAUGGAAUAUCCGUACCUUACUAUCUUUCAGUAUUUUUCGAUGUGAUGCUUGAUUUAAUAUAGAAUCUUUCAUGUUUAGGCAUCUCAGAGGGUGUUUAACAAAAAAAUGACACCACAUCUGCUGCAGUGUAGUUUGAGGUGUGUAGGAUCGAAAGGGCAGAGAGGAAAGCAUGUUUCAAAAGGACAGCAUAGGAAAAAGGUGAAAUGCAUUAUCUAUCAUUGUUACUUCAAAAUCUUGUGUUUCAGAGCCAUGAAGUGCAGCAAAUUACACAUAAACUCAGCUAUUAAUGUUGAUGUAAGAGAUUCUGUUGUGACAGCAUUGGAAUAAAUACCAUAGGUAUAUUCAUGAAUAUAAAAUUUGAUAUGUAGCAAAUUCCUGUUUAGGAACAAACCUAAUGUCAUUAUAGAUUUUGGAAAUAUUGUCUGACAUGUUUGGCAAUGCACUGUCAGGAUGAAUUAGAUCCCACCUUUGUUUGCAGAAUGAUGCUGUCGCAAACAAGCAAAGAGUAAAAACUGUCUUGCUCUGUUGCAGACUGCAGCCCAUUUUCUGUGCCAAAAGUGUGGCAAAAGAACGGCCCAGAUACAAAGCAGCAUGUAAUGCCAAAGGUAAACUGACACUGUGAGCAACACAGUUAAAAAGGAUUGUUCAUUAUUGCUCCAAGACACCACGGACAUUAUUCUCUCUUGGCUAGGUUUUGGACUCUCCACCCUGAGUAAACUGUCAGCACACAUCUGUGCCAUGCCUGCAUCUCUAGUCAGCUUUAUAUUUUGUGAAGUAUCAGUUUGGGCCUACUACUUUACAGUCUUUGUUAUGUUUAACACCACAAUAUCUCAGGAAAAAAAAAAAAAACAAAAAAAAAAGAAA